AUCAAACCAAGUAGAAGUUGUAGAACACACAUAAUUAUAAACCACGCCAAGCUCGUUUUGGCGGUGGAUUUCUGAGAACCCUAAUACGUAGGUGAGUAGUACUUGUAGAAUCUUCUAGGGUUUAUACUUUUUAGCAGUAUAAUCACGACUACUGAACGAAUACAAUUUAGUUAAUGAAGAAGAUUAUGUGAAGUAAUCGCUUCCAACGACAGGUUAAUUAUGAAGGAAGUUGUGACCAUCCAAGUUGGAGGUUUCGCCAACUUCAUCGGCUCUCACUUCUGGAACUUCCAGGAUGAGUUGCUCGGGUUGGCUGAGGACCCUUCUAGUGAUCCAGUCUUCAAGAAUCAUUCUUUAACUAUGGACGUGCUCUACCGUUCUGGUGAGACACAGCAGGGCACCCUUACAUAUACUCCACGCCUGGUUUCCGUUGACUUCCAAGGUUCACUUGGAUCUAUGAGUUCACGUGGUUCAUUAUAUAACAAGGUUGCAUCUGCACCACCAGAUGUCAUCACAUGGACUGGUAAUGUUUCCACUCAUGCAGCUGAACCUCGAAGGAGGAAUUUGUUCUUGCAAAGAUUGCAUGAAGAAGAGCAGGAGAAUCUGACUCCAGUGGAUGGCAUCAAUGAUGCGAGGAAUAGUCCCCAGAGAGAAAUCCAGGAUGAGGAUAUAGUUGAAUACUUAGAAAAUGGUGUUCAAUAUUGGACAGACUUCUCAAAAGUUCACUACCAUCACCAAAGUUUACAUGAACUGAGUGGAUUAUGGAUGGACAAUCAGGAAUUUGACAAUUAUGGAAUUGGAAGGGAUGCCUUCUCUUGGGCGUUACGAGGAGAAGAAAUUAGUGAUAGGCUUCGCAUGUUUGUAGAAGAGUGUGACCAUAUUCAGGGUUUUCAGUUCAUUGUCGACGAUUCAGGUGGUUUCUCCUCUGUAGCUGCAGAUUUUCUAGAGAAUAUUGCCGAUGAAUACACAAACACACCUGUGUUGCUCUAUUCUGUCAGGGAUCCUGUUUCUCACAUGAUCCACAAAAGCCAGAAGCAAACAAUCUCUAAGAAACUUCAUGAUGCAGUUUCAUUUUCAAGACUAUCAUCCUUCUGUAAACUGAUUGUGCCAGUUGGUCUCCCCUCCUUGAGUCAAGCUUCCCCGUUCCUCUGCAUUAAAGAUGAGAAGCCUUACCACUGCAGUGCUGUUUAUGCUGCUGCACUGCACUCUAUUAGUCUUCCAUUCCGAAUGGAACCACUUGGUCCCACUUCAGAUUCACGUUAUGUGUCCGGUGCUGUUGACAUCAAUGGUCUUGUACAAAUGCUAGCAGGGGGAGCUAGGCGGAAUAUGGUGACUAUUUUGGACGUUGCAAUGCCAGCACCUUCUUUGACUGGGAAACAGGUUGAGAAAUCUUUGCUAGGAAAUUUACAGACGUUGACACCUGAGAUAGCAGAGGAUGUGGAAGACUUGCAAUCGGUGGAAUCCAUGACCAUCAGUGGGGCCCUUGGGUCAGGAGGCCAUCGGGCUUCAGUUUCUGUGGUAAAGGAUUAUGUUCAUGCUGCUUAUGAAAAUGCAAUAACAAGACCAAAGUUCUGCAAUCUAUCAGUGGCUCUUUGUCCUCUUCCAAUACCUUUGCCUUUUCCUAAAAUAUUUGGGAACCUUGUUGGCCAACAUGGUGAGCUGUUGGGGAGUCCAGUCAGUGGUUCUCCUUUGAGGGGAUCACUUGACAUCCAUUCCAUCCCAUUGGCGGGUAGAUUACGUUCUAGCAGUGCUGUCUUGCCAUUUUUGGAGAAUAGAUUGGGAAAUCUUCGUAGAUUUGGAACUCAGCAAGGUGCAGCUGGGGCUGAGUUAGUUAGGAGAUGGGGAUUUGAAAAGGAUGAAUUAGAAGACAUGGGAGAGAGGCUCUCUAAAAUGGUUAUGGAAUUGGAUCCUUAUUCUCAGAUGUCAUCAGAUUCAGAUUAAUUAAUCUGGUGUGUGUGAAUAUUGGGGUUUCUUUUUCAUUUGUUUUCUCCAAGGCUAUGGAUGUCGGCAAGUGGAGACAUUCAUUGAAGUGGGGAAAUGGUUUGCCAUUUGCAUGGAGGAGAGCUUCAAGGCUGCAAAAGAUAUGGUAAUUUGGUAAGGAAAGUCAAAGACAGCUGAAAGUCGGAACGCAACCUUCAUUUGGUGAGAAAGAUGUACGCAUGACUUGUAUGGUGCAACAUGCCACCACUUGAAGUUCUCUUUCUUUUUUCUUCUUUAUUUUGGUGGUAUAGGGAACUUUGCAAGUCUUUAUAAAAAUUAUUUA